ACCUUUCGGUCCUCCGUUUCUCCAACCUCGUCUUUGAGCCGCUGUGGUCGAGGAACUACAUCAGGAACGUGCAGCUCAUCUUCUCUGAAGAUUUCGGCACCGAGGGUCGAGGCGGGUCUGCAGUACCUUGUUCCAUUUCCAUGCAAUGUUCAGUGCAAACUUAAUUAGCCAAAGUUCAAUGAAAAUGAACCGAUAAUGAUGGAUGGAUUGGGUGCAGCUACUUCGACAACUACGGGAUCAUCCGUGACAUCAUGCAGAACCACCUGCUUCAGAUCCUGGCCCUGUUCGCCAUGGAGACCCCGGUGAGCCUGGACGCCGAGGACAUCCGCAACGAGAAGGUGAAGGUGCUGCGGUCGAUGCGGCCGCUGAAGGUGGAGGACGUGGUGGUGGGG
rnacentral:lncRNA from 1 species